AACGGAGUCGGCCCCGCAAGGGACUGACUUAGUGGCGAACGGGUGAGUAACGCGUGAGCAACCUGCCUUGAAGAGGGGGACAACAGUUGGAAACGACUGCUAAUACCGCAUAAGCCCACGGCUCGGCAUCGAGCAGGGGAAAAGGAGCAAUCCGCUUCAAGAUGGCCUCGCGUCUGAUUAGCUAGUUGGUGAGGUAACGGCCCACCAAGGCGACGAUCAGUAGCCGGACUGAGAGGUUGACCGGCCACAUUGGGACUGAGAUACGGCCCAGACUCC
rnacentral:rRNA from 1 species